rnacentral:lncRNA from 1 species
GAGGGCAAAGUUAAACCAAACUGCUGACGGUGGGCCUCUGUGAAGAACGCCGCCCUUGAUCUGAAGGUUAGCGAAAGAAUUUUCUCUGAACGACCUCUCCAAAGAAACUGGAACAAAAUCAGAAGCGGCACUUUGGUGCUCUAGGGUAUCGGGGAAGGUGCCUGGGGAAAGCACCCCCACUUCCUCUGUUCCCACUUACAGGGAGAAGCUGCAGAGAGGCAGCGAGGAAGCCCAGCAGCAGACAGGCACGGGGGCGGACGCUUACUGCGCCCUCCCCACAACCUCUCUCCCUCUCUCCCCACUUCACUUGUCACAUAUCUACUCUAGGCAAGCAGCUGCCAUACUUUGAGUGGCCCCGUGGAAGGCCUUAUAUGACACAGAAUGUGUCUAACUGCGACCCCAGCUCACGCCUUCAUGAGAGAUGCUGAGUCAGCAUCACCUAGCCCAGCCAUUCCCCGAAACCUGACAAAUCACAAACUAUG